rnacentral:rRNA from 1 species
UGCGUAGGCGGACCUAUUAGUCAGUGGUGAAAUCCCGGGGCUCAACUCCGGAACUGCCAUUGAUACUGUAGGUCUUGAGUUUGGUUGAAGUGGGCGGAAUGUAGCAUGUAGCGGUGAAAUGCAUAGAUAUGCUACAGAACACCGAUCGCGAAGGCAGCUCACUAAACCAAAACUGACGCUCAGGCACGAAAGCGUGGGUAGCGAACAGGAUUAGAUACCCUGGUAGUCC